rnacentral:rRNA from 1 species
GACGAACGUUGGCGGCGUGCUUAAUACAUGCAAGUCCACUGAAGCAGUGGUAGCAAUCUCGCUGUGGAGGUGGCGCACGGGUGAGUAACACGUAGGUAAUCUGCCUUCAGGUCUGGCAUAACUCCGGGAAACCGGGGCUAAUAGCAGAUGAUGCAGCGGCUCGACAUCGAGACAGUUGUUAAAGCUAUGGCGCCUGAAGAUGAGCCUGCGUCUGAUUAGCUAGUUGGCGGGGUAACGGCCCACCAAGGCAACGAUCAGUAGCUGGUCUGAGAGGAUGAUCAGCCACACUGGAGCUGAGACACGGUCCAGACUCCUACGGGAGGCAGCAGUAAGGAAUAUUGCUCAAUGGGAGAAAUCCUGAAGCAGCAACGCCGCGUGAGGGACGAAGGGCUUUUGCUUGUAAACCUCUGUAGUGAGAGAAAAAAAUCCCAAUCUUUGGGACAUGAUGGUAUCUCAAAAGUAAGCCCCGGCUAACUACGUG